rnacentral:rRNA from 1 species
GACGAACGCUGGCGGCGUGCCUAAUACAUGCAAGUAGAACGCUGAGGUUUGGUGUUUACACUAGACUGAUGAGUUGCGAACGGGUGAGUAACGCGUAGGUAACCUGCCCCAUAGCGGGGGAUAACUAUUGGAAACGAUAGCUAAUACCGCAUAAGAGUAAUUAACACAUGUUAGUUAUUUAAAAGGAGCAAUUGCUUCACUGUGAGAUGGACCUGCGUUGUAUUAGCUAGUUGGUGAGGUAAAGGCUCACCAAGGCGACGAUACAUAGCCGACCUGAGAGGGUGAUCGGCCACACUGGGACUGAGACACGGCCCAGACUCCUACGGGAGGCAGCAGUAGGGAAUCUUCGGCAAUGGACGGAAGUCUGACCGAGCAACGCCGCGUGAGUGAAGAAGGUUUUCGGAUCGUAAAGCUCUGUUGUUAGAGAAGAACGUUGGUAGGAGUGGAAAAUCUACCAAGUGACGGUAACUAACCAGAAAGGGACGGCUAACUACGUGCCAGCAGCCGCGGUAAUACGUAGGUCCCGAGCGUUGUCCGGAUUUAUUGGGCGUAAAGCGAGCGCAGGCGGUUCUUUAAGUCUGAAGUUAAAGGCAGUGGCUUAACCAUUGUACGCUUUGGAAACUGGAGGACUUGAGUGCAGAAGGGGAGAGUGGAAUUCCAUGUGUAGCGGUGAAAUGCGUAGAUAUAUGGAGGAACACCGGUGGCGAAAGCGGCUCUCUGGUCUGUAACUGACGCUGAGGCUCGAAAGCGUGGGGAGCAAACAGG